UGCGCUAAAAUUGUAUAAUAAUUUUUUAAAGUGAUUAUUAUGCUGUAAAUUCUGCAUUGAAUUGCACUGGUUGCCGGUUCAAAGAUGUCGUCAUUGUAACAAUAUUUCUCUUUAAACUCUUUUUCUAGGGGUAGAGGUCCCAAUGAAGGUGACUCCUCUCGUGUUGUAAUUUUUAAAAAGAAGACAUUUAGGCCAGGGACCAAACCUCCUAAGAGGUCCCCACGGCUAGGUGGCGCGUGGGGUAUGUAGGACUGAUCCGCAACUUUGAACCGCGGGCGCAAGUAUUUUAGGGCUUCGAGUUAUGCCUCAAGGUUUGGUGAGGGCGUAAGUGCUAACUACAAUCUCCGGGAAACGUACAUAGUGUAAAAUAAAUCGCAGUAAUGUCAUAACUUAAAUACUUAGAAAGUUUACAAUAAUAAUAAUAAUAGGUUUUCAAUUUAAAAUACCGUGAAACUGUUAUUAAUUAUAUACUGUGGUAAUUAUGAGUCAUAAUAAUUAACGUUUUAUUUAUUGGUCAAAAUAAUAAUUGUUCGAUCCUUUUUCUUCCUGUAAGUGUGAUCGGGAAACCUCUACUAUAUUUGAUCAUUCGUUUUUUCGUAUACAAAGGAAGCAUCUGACAGAAACUUCAUAGAAGACUUAUCAACAUAGAUGCCUUUUUUUAUUUUUCUAAUUUUUAUUCUUUCUAAUUUUAUUCUAUUCGUCCCAUUGACUCAUCUGAGAAGUGAAACAUUGUAAUAGAUUAGGGAAUUUAGCGAAACACUUAUCAAGUCAAGAGAGGUGUUGAUGGAUUUUAAGGAGGUAGUGCACGCAUGAAUAGUCACCACAUUCUACAUAUUUCUAUUACCAAGCAGUUUUACGUUCCGGGUUGAAGGGUGCGAAAAUAGUGCAAUAUAAUUAAGACUUUAAUCCCGUGUCGUCAGGUGGUAAUUGUAUUCGAAUCU